rnacentral:rRNA from 1 species
UACGUAGGGUGCAAGCGUUAAUCGGAAUUACUGGGCGUAAAGCGUGCGCAGGCGGUUCGUUGUGUCGGUGGUGAAAUCCCCGGGCUUAACCUGGGAAUGGCCAUGGAAACUGGCUCGCUGGAGUGUGGCAGAGGGGGGUGGAAUUCCGCGUGUAGCAGUGAAAUGCGUAGAGAUGCGGAGGAACACCGAUGGCGAAGGCAGCCCCCUGGGCUAACACUGACGCUCAGGCACGAAAGCGUGGGGAGCAAAAGGG